AUGAACGCUAGCGGCAGGCUUAAUACAUGCAAGUUGAGGGGGCAGCAUGAUAUACGCGAGUAUAUUGAUGGCGACCGGCGGACGGGUGAGUAAUAGGUAGGAGACCUACCUCAUACAGGGGGAUAGCAUAGAGAAAUCUGUGGUAAUACCCCAUGAGGUUAUAUGAAUAGAGGCAUAUAAUCAAAGCAUAAGCGAUUAUGCGGUAUGAGAGGGGCCUACUGACCAUUAGCUAGUUGGUGAGGUAAGGGCUCACCAAGGCGAAGAUGGUUAGGGGUUUUGAGAGAGAGACCCCCCACAUUGGAACUGAGAGACGGUCCAGACUCCUACGGGAGGCAGCAGUAGGGAAUAUUGGGCAAUGGGCGAAAGCCUGACCCAGCCAUGCCGCGUGAAGGAAGACGGCCUUAUGGGUUGUAAACUUCUUUACUACGCGAAUAGAGGUUAGUACGAGAUACUAAUAGGAAGGUAGUGUAGUAAAAAGCACCGGCUAACUCCGUG
rnacentral:rRNA from 1 species